GAUUGAACGCUGGUGGCAGGCUUAACACAUGCAAGUCGAACGGUAACAGGAAUUAGCUUGCUAAUUUGCUGACGAGUGGCGGACGGGUGAGUAAUGCUUGGGAAUCUGGCUUAUGGAGGGGGAUAACUACGGGAAACUGUAGCUAAUACCGCGUAAAAUCUUCGGAUUAAAGGGUGGGACUUUCGAGCCACCUGCCAUAAGAUGAGCCCAAGUGGGAUUAGGUAGUUGGUUAGGUAAAGGCUGACCAAGCCGACGAUCUCUAGCUGGUCUGAGAGGAUGACCAGCCACACUGGAACUGAGACACGGUCCAGACUCCUACGGGAGGCAGCAGUGGGGAAUAUUGCACAAUGGGGGGAACCCUGAUGCAGCCAUGCCGCGUGAAUGAAGAAGGCCUUCGGGUUGUAAAGUUCUUUCGGUGACGAGGAAGGUUGAUAGGUUAAUAGCCUAUCAAAUUGACGUUAAUCACAGAAGAAGCACCGGCUAACUCCGUG
rnacentral:rRNA from 1 species